UCAAGUCUCUUAGUUUAAGCAUCACCAUAUUAUUAAUUCCAUGCUCAGCGCAAAACGUAAAAAAAGAGUCAAUUAUACAAACUCGUUUUACUGUUAAAUAUGUUUAACUAAUUUGCAUGUAGAUUUUAUUUUUGAGUGAUCAAGAUCAGUUUUUGUCUUUCUUAUUGUUGAUACGCAAUCUGAUCCAUACCCACGGCUUUUUAUGAUUAGAUCUAUCAUUAUCAGUAAAAAAACUGUCGAAUAGAUUAAAGUAUAUGCGUAAAAAGAUAAAAUGUCGUAAAAAAGCGACGUAAUUAAUUCUCUCGGACUUAACAUCUGUUGUUAGUUUAUUGUUUUGAACAGCAUGGCUCCCAGCCGCACGAUUAAACGAUAAGAUCUUGCAGGGAACUGCAGCCUACCGAGCGCCCCCUAUCAGCCGACAACAGAACAAGAUUAAUAGGAAACGAAAUUUUUUUGCCAUUUCAGAAAAAAGAUAUCUUACCAUACAAACAGUUUUCUUUCUUUUGGAUAUAACUAAUGUCAGAAACAAACUAACUUACAACAGAUUUUGUCAUUGCAGCUGCAAAAUUAGGAACUUUAUACAAUACUAUAGUAGCUAGAAAUAACAUUUCGUUUGCAUUAAUUCUAUGCAUAGGAAAAAGGCGGUUAUUUUGGAGGAUGAAAACUUGUGGUGUUACACAAAAAUAUGGAUAAAAAACAAUAUCAAGGCAUUUAGACUACUGAUAGAUGGUAUACUGAUAGACGUUAUCUCGCAGAAAACUGAAAAGAGCAGCAAAGAAAGGACAGAACGUAAAAAUCAGCAACUCUGAUGAGAUGGUAAAAAGCAGAUGAACGGGAGAUAAUAAAAUGCAGAUGGACGGCUUCUUUGAUCGUGAAGAGUUUGCUAUUAGUUAUGGGACGAGGGCAUUCCAAGGAAAUGACAUAUAUGAGUCUUUGAAGCAGUAUGCCAUUCAUUGCCUCAGUAUAGAGAUUCAACAUUUAAUGAUUAUAGGAAUAAAAAAGGCGUAGCUCCAGACAGACACUGAAAAGGAAGGCAAAGAUGUUUUCAGACUGACAUAAAGCCCUAGUUUCUAAAACUAGAAAUAUAUUCAUAA